rnacentral:rRNA from 1 species
GAAGCUGACGGCGGCUACACUGCAGUCAAGGGUACGGGGAGCUUGCUCCGCCGACGACGGCGCACGGGUGCGUAACGCGUAUACAACCGUACCUUUUGCUAUUGGAUAGCCCAGAGAAAUUUGGAUUAACACAAUAUAGUACCGUAUCACCGCAUGGUGUUUACGGUUAAAGGCUACGGCAAAAGAUGGGUAUGCGUCCUAUUAGCUAGAUGGUGUGGUAACGGCACACCAUGGCAACGAUAGGUAGGGGCCCUGAGAGGGGGAUCCCCCACACUGGUACUGAGACACGGACCAGACUCCUACGGGAGGCAGCAGUGAGGAAUAUUGGACAAUGGAGGGAACUCUGAUCCAGCCAUGCCGCGUGCAGGAAGACUGCCCUAUGGGUUGUAAACUGCUUUUGUACGGGAAGAAACACCCCCUCGUGAGGGGGCUUGACGGUACCGUAAGAAUAAGGAUCGGCUAACUCCGUGCCAGCAGCCGCGGUAAUACGGAGGAUCCAAGCGUUAUCCGGAAUCAUUGGGUUUAAAGGGUCCGUAGGUGGAUAAUUAAGUCAGGGGUGAAAGUCUGCAGCUCAACUGUAGAAUUGCCUUUGAUACUGGUUAUCUUGAAUUAUUGUGAAGUGGUUAGAAUAUGUAGUGUAGCGGUGAAAUGCAUAGAUAUUACAUAGAAUACCAAUUGCGAAGGCAGAUCACUAACAAUCAAUUGACACUGAUGGACGAAAGCGUGGGUAGCGA